rnacentral:rRNA from 1 species
UUGAACGCUGGCGGCAUGCCUAACACAUGCAAGUCGAACGGCAGCACAGCAGUAGCAAUACUGUGGGUGGCGAGUGGCGGACGGGUGAGGAAUACGUCGGAAUCUGCCCAGUCGUGGGGGAUAACUAGCCGAAAGGUUAGCUAAUACCGCAUACGACCGAGAGGUGAAAGCGGGGGACCGCAAGGCCUCGCGCGAUUGGAUGAGCCGACGUCGGAUUAGCUAGUUGGCGGGUAAAGGCCCACCAAGGCGACGAUCCGUAGCUGGUCUGAGAGGAUGAUCAGCCACACUGGAACUGAGACACGGUCCAGACUCCUACGGAGGCAGCAGUGGGGAAUAUUGGACAAUGGGCGCAAGCCUGAUCCAGCAAUGCCGCGUGUGUGAAGAAGGCCUUCGGGUUGUAAAGCACUUUUAUCAGGAACGAAAAGCGUUGGAUUAAUACUCUGACGUGCUGACGGUACCUGAGGAAUAAGCACCGGCUAACUUCGUG